GGGAUUGUAGUAUAGUGGUCAGUACUUCUCGUUGUGGUUCGAUUCGAUCAUACAACGAUCCGAGAGGACCCAGGUUCGAUUCCUGGCAAUCCCA
rfam:Neurospora crassa OR74A linkage group V, whole genome shotgun sequence.